CACCCCUGAAGGAGUUUUCGGACAACGGAAGGGAAUGCUUAGUGGCGGACUGGUGAGUAACGCGUGAGGAACCUGCCUUCCAGAGGGGGACAACAGUUGGAAACGACUGCUAAUACCGCAUGAUGUGUUUUGAUGGCAUCAUUGAGACACCAAAGAUUUAUCGCUGGAAGAUGGCCUCGCGUCUGAUUAGCUAGUAGGCGGGGUAACGGCCCACCUAGGCGACGAUCAGUAGCCGGACUGAGAGGUUGACCGGCCACAUUGGGACUGAGAUACGGCCCAGACUCCUACGGGAGGCAGCAGUGGGGAAUAUUGGGCAAUGGGCGCAAGCCUGACCCAGCAACGCCGCGUGAAGGAAGAAGGCUUUCGGGUUGUAAACUUCUUUUAAGAGGGAAGAGAAGAAGACGGUACCUCUUGAAUAAGCCACGGCUAACUACGUGCCAGCAGCCGCGGUAAUACGUAGGUGGCAAGCGUUGUCCGGAUUUACUGGGUGUAAAGGGCGUGCAGCCGGGCUGACAAGUCAGAUGUGAAAUCCCGCGGCUCAACCGCGGAACUGCAUUUGAAACUGUCAGUCUUGAGUACCGGAGAGGUCAUCGGAAUUCCUUGUGUAGCGGUGAAAUGCGUAGAUAUAAGGAAGAACACCAGUGGCGAAGGCGGAUGACUGGACGGCAACUGACGGUGAGCCGCGAAAGCGUGGGGAGCAAACA
rnacentral:rRNA from 1 species